UCAAACGUGAGAAAUGGAUUAUUAGAAAUCACCCUCGACUUCACUCGACUAUUACUUCUAAAUUUGAAGGUAUCUCAGGCUCAUAUUCAAACCAGUUCGGGCAUGCUGGAAGUUGGAAGAGUUUAAACUUAAUGUAAAGUUAUUUCGUAAAGCCCUCAUAGGAUGUACAUAUUACAAGAAGUACCUGCAGAACUUCUGUAGGUACUUUUUCGGAAUGGAACUUCCAAUUGAUUAUC
rnacentral:lncRNA from 1 species